rnacentral:rRNA from 1 species
AUGGGAGGCAUGAGUUUUGCUUCUCUCAUGGGAGGCAUGGGUGCACCUCCGGCCGCCAUGGGCGGAAUGUCUUUCGAUGUGCCUCCUCGCACACAUUCCCAUGAAGAUGCUGUUGAAGAUCUUGCCAACAUCGUCGGAGCUUCAUGUGAUGCGGUGCUGAUGAGGAGAGGGAGGAAGAUUCAUCUUCGGAGGCGGAAGAAUCGUCUUCCGAAGAUGAGGACGAGGACGAAGACGAGGACGAGGAAUGAUGUGUCUUUCAUUUGUGUAUCGAACUUGAUUUACAUUUUGAACUUGGUUGGAUGA